CUGAUCGCCAAGCCAAGUAGCAGAAAGUGCCUGCCUUAAAAUCUUUGGUAUGACCCGACUCGAGUUUGAUCCAAGAUCUCCCGACUUCGUAAAUUAUUGUAGUGAGUGAGUGCUUUGGGUUUAACGCCGUACUUAACACUCAUAUGACGACGAAAGAAUCCUUAGAGUACAUGUAGUGUGCCUGCUUGUUGCAGGACAGAUUUCCACCGCUCUUUAGCUAGUUUGUGGUAUCGAGUGCUGCUUCACUGUGACGCUUUACCGAAGGCAAGUAAGGCGCCCCGCCUGAGACAUUAUGCCUAAACGGAUCGUUGCACUUUCUCCUUCAUGCUGAACGCCAAACUUUCAAGGUCUUAGGUGUGACUCGACCCAGGAUUGACUCUGGAUCUACCGCUCCCAAAGCGGACGCUCUACCAACUGUGCUUUCGGAGCCGGUCAAAUUAAUAUGCCUUUCAGUGUAUGCGGUACAUUGCUGCCUACGUUUUGGCCGUCAUGGGAGGUAACCCAUCUCCGACAGCUGAAGACAUCCGAACCAUUGUCAGCAGUGUUGGAAUAGACAUCGACGAAUCUAGACUGAACAAAGUCAUCAGUGAGCUCGGGGAAAAGAUCUGGAAGAGUUGAUAGCGCAAGGUACUGAGCGACUGGCCACGGCCUUCGUCGGUGGGGGUGGGGGUGUUAAGACAGCGCCUGGUCCAGUCGAGGAGGGUGAUAAGCCCACUGAGGACAAACCAGCUGAAGCCGCCGGAGACGAUGAUGGAGAGUCUGAGGAAGAAGAUUUCGGCAUGGGGCUGUUUGACAUGUGAUCAUUGGCGGGAACUGGAACUCUUCAGUCAUUUCUCUAUAGAGUGCUUUACCGUUAUAUUAUCCAUACACACUGAUAUGCACCACGUGUGUGUGUGUGCGCGCUCACUAAAUAGAGGUCACCGUCAUAAGAAAUGGGUCAAAUAAUUCGUGUGCUUUCAAAACAACAUACAUGUCAGGUUGUUGUUGCACCGUUUUAGUGAGAAAAAUAAUUGUGUUGGUCCUGUCCCUACUGAAUGUGGCUCUACUAAAACAUGGAACAUAUCAUCAAAUAUUGUUGUCAGUAAAUUGUGGGUAUACACACACACACAAAUAUAUAUGCAGCCAAUGCAAGUCCGUUUAUGACACCGGCGAUCACAUGGAGUAAGACAUGCAUUCGAAUAGCAUUCCCAAUAGAACUAUACAUAUACAUAAAUUUUUGAAAUUAGAAGAUUAAUAUUUGUGUAAUACCCAUGGUUUGUUUUUAUGCAUAUGGUUAUUUAUUUUACAUUUUUAUGUCUUUUUAAGGAUAGAAUUCUUCCUUUUGCUUAAUCAUGGAACAACGUUUCAGGAGCCAACGCCGCAAGAAAGGGCUUGGCACGCAUCAAAUUGCUGUUUUGCUUAACUGGGGUGCAACAUUAGUGUGAAAUUUUCAGUGUGCAGUUUAUAUAGUGUACGUUUUUAGUGAGCAGUUUUAGUGUGCAGUUUUAGUAUGCAGUUUUAGUGUGUUUUUUCUGGACUGCAACAAUUCUGGAUUGAGAAAAUUAAAGGGUGAAGAUUUAAAGCUAACAACUCUUUAGACACUUAUAAAAAUAAGUUUUAUACGUUCUGGAGCUGAAAAGUAGGUGUAGUGCCGUUUUUA